rnacentral:lncRNA from 10 species
AGGCUCGCCCAGGCCCGGCCGCCGGCCCGCGCGCACCUGCAGACGCUGCACGUCUUAAGUUUCGAGUGAUUUGGGGAAGGAAAGAGGACCGAGAAGAAAAGAAAAGGGCUCGGGGGGGGGGGGGGGUGGGCGGGUGAGGGGCGGAGGAGAGGACGAAGGAAAAAAGCCGGGAGAGGGAGAAGAAAGAAAUCUUCCUUUUGCAAAAGGAGGCAUAAUGUGGCUUAGAGAACGGCCCCCCUCUCCGCCCUGGGGGAGCCGGGAGGAUGUGCAGCCCCAGUCCUCCUGCUCGGCGGAGCCUCGCGCGCGCAGAGCCUAGCGCGAUUCGCGCCCUCAUUACUACUACAAAGCGCGGGCCAGACCAAUCCCCUUUCUAAUGCACCAUUUUCGACUGAGAACAUCAAGAGGCCAGAAACUUCCAAGUCAGCUUGCAGACGCAGACGCCUCCUGGGGUCCUGGCUUUAAGAACCAGAUGCCAACACUCCCGGACAGUUUAUGGCAUCCGGAUCCCUCAAGGGUGCUCAUCUGCAGUUGAGAGUCUAAUAAAUGGCAUUAACAAAGCGUUUCAGCGACUACCACGGCUUCACAGUGGCUCCUCCCCUGCCCUGCCACCAUUCAGGCUGUAAUUCCUUCCAGGAUUCCCGCACCAUCCUGUGUGCCCAGAGCUCUCUAGAGCACCAGACUUUUCCUUUCCAGUUAGAGUGCGUGCGCGGGUCCUGCAAGAUCCCAGCCGCGCGUCACCGCGAACCAUUCUGCGGGAGGGGCAGGACCUAAGGCUGCAUCUCCAGGAGGGAACGUGGAGACACCGCGGGCGGAGGGGACCUGGAGGAGUUCCUGGAGGAGCAGUCCUAGGCACGGGGCGAAGGAUUUGCGCUCUAGCUGGUGGAGCGCACAUCGCCCUGGUUAGCUCUGCGGAUUCUGUGUGAAGAAUACAGAGACAGACGUUCCAUUUCAAAGAAAAAAGAGCAACACGAAGGCCCUCUUUAAGGAGAGAGUAAACAUUCACUUUAGGUAAAAAAUAGUCUUUUACACGCCUGUGCACGGCACACCUCUUUUGCUGUUCACCUUGAGCCCAAGAGUUUGGAAAGGCUGCCCCCAUUUCAGAGAGGAAGAAACGCAGGCACACGUGAAUGACAGACUCCUCUGUGGUGGCCUAGACUCCAGCCAACACUUCCUAGGACAGCCUGCCAUUGUGCAAAGUCACCAUGUAACAAAUGCAGACAUCUCUGAGAUCACCAUGCAGUGAGGAAGUCUAAGCUGGUGGCAUGAAGAGGCCACAUGGAAAGGGCUAAAAAAGGGGCCAGCCUCAGUCAUCCCAGCUGAGCACCUGGCUGGGAAUAAAAGAGGACUCCGUGGAUGUCCAGCCCAGUAAGAUGACCUCAGCCCCAGCCACCAACUGACCAAGCACACAAGACAUCGUGAGGCUGCCUGCUGGAGCCUGGCCAGUGGGACUGUAGAGUAACUCAUUGUCGUGCAGGAACUCCUGGGAUGGUGUUGCCCAGUGACACAAUCCCAGUGUGGCCAUUUCUGAUCCCGAGAAAGCAGUCAGGAGUGGGUGGAUGCAGUUACAGUUCAUCAAGUCCUGCUAGUUCAAGUCAUGAGUCCUGAAUUCUCCAGGAGGAGCCACUAAAGAAAUGCAGAAGCAGGCAAUCCUUGCAAUAAGGCCAGCAAACUGCCAGUGUGAAGGAUGCCCAGGUAACCUGCCCAUGCCAGAACGGCCAGGAGAUGGUGGAACCAGAAUCUAAGCCCACGCCCAUCUGACCUCAAAGUCUGUGCUCCUGAGGUUCGCACCGAGUUGCCUCCUAAGACUUGCUGAAACUGGAUCACGUCCAUUUACCCAUCUCUGAGAGAAAUGCAAGCUUUAAAAAAGGAAAUAUUUACUAUGGAUAUUUUACAAUAGUUCCAAAACAUGAAAGUUUUAAAUAAGAUAUUCUUAACCAUCCUCACCACAUCUUCAGGUUCCCUUACAGCCACUGUGUUUUGACGAUUGCCCAUUAGAAAAAAAGACUAUGCUUUCUGUAGGUUUUAAAGGAAUGGUGGUGAAAUAAGGAGCAUUCCCUGAGCAGAUCUUGCCUGCGGGCACACCUCUGAGCAUUGGACCAGGCGAGAAGAGCCCAUGUGUUGGCUGCUUUGGGAUCCCAGCACUGCCAAUGGCAGGUGGGCUGUGGCCCAGGGAGAGAACCUAGCCUUUUGCAUUCUCUUGCCCCAUUUGAAAAUGGAGACGAUAGUGGCGCCCCGCUCAGUGUUAUUUUGAGGAUUUGAAUGUAUCUCAGAUGUAGUACCUGGAAAAAUAUAAGUGCUCAGUAAAUACGGUUGCCAGAUAAAAUGCAGGAAACCUAUUUAAAUUUAAGUUUUGGCUGGACAAUGAAUAGAAUAAUUUUUCUUAGUAUGAGUAUGUCCUUAUAUUUCAUCUGCUAAAUUUAGCAACCUCCUCAGUAAACGAUCACUACAAUUGCAGAAACGCCUUAUGACAGAUAUAGUAAAUCUGUAAAGAAAUAGGAACUUGCAUUUAUUUUUACUAAGCUCUGACUGGUUAAGAUAACUGGGCAAGAGAAGAUAUCUUCGACUAAACUUGCAGCACAUAGAGUAUAGAGAUUCAAAUUUGAAGUCCUAUAGGACUAGAAUGGCCAGAGGUGAACUGUAGCGAGCUUAUCUAAAGAGGACCAAUUUCAAAAGUUCCUCAGAGACUUAAAUGGGCCCACAGACCCCUCCUGUGUCUUUGCAUAAGCCAGCUCGUUAUAUCAGUUAUAAGUUGAUUUCCAGAGAAAUGUACCCUGGAGAUCCCUCUCCCACUUGAAAUAGGACUGGCCAAUCCAGAUGUCCCCCAGGUGAUGUUGGCUCAAAUGGAGCUCCAUAUAUUGGAGAAUCUAUUCAAGAAAACAAGCAAAAGUAUUUGUGACUGAGUUAGCUAAUGCCAGCUGGUAUCUUGAACAAACCCAGAUCUCUAACAUGCUAGUUUAUUUCGUAGUGUAAAAUGUGUGUUACUGAUGGGCAGACAGCUCUCAUUCAAGCAGUGACAGAUGUAAGCUCUUCCCAUUUUUGUGGCCCCAUUGUAUUCGGCGUGUGGCUUCCAAGUUGCCUGGGAUCAUCUCCACCCAGACUAAGGAAGAGGAAAGAGCUUGGACAACUGCACUUGGCUGGUUUUUAUGGAUCAGGCAAGGAAUUGGCUCCAACACAUUAGCUCACAUUCCAUUGGUUAGAACUGGGUUUCUCAACUAUUAGUACAGGGUGAGUGUAGGGUUUUGGCACCAUGGGCAUUUGAGCUGGCCAAAGGCUAAUCAGAGUUAGAACAAAGCCACAAAGCCUGUGAAUGGUGUUUAUUGUUGUGAGGAGCUGUCUUGUGCAUUGUGGAAUGUUCAGCAGGAUGCUCUCUGGCCUCAGAGACUCACUAGAUUCCCAUAGAACUCUCCUCUCUCCUCUAGUUGUGACAACCACAGUUGCCUCCUCUCCAGACAUUGCUAGAUGUCCCCGGGAGGCAAAAUUGUCCUGGUUGAGAACCACUGUGUUAGAACUCGGUCACAUGGCCAUACCUAACUGCAAGGGAGGGGGCUGGAAGAUCUAGACGAGUAGUAUGCCAGGAAGAAAAUAGAACUGAUUUAGAGGCUGCUGGCCAGUCACUUUCAGUGACCUUCAGCAUACUUAUUCCUCUGCAGCUGUCAGGACACUCAUGCCUGUUUCUGAGAUGUUUCCUGUGUGAGGGGACAUAGUGACUAUUGGAGGGGUGACAUGUUGGACUUGGGUAGGGUGAAGAGGAUUGGAAACCACCAUCAUGUUUGGCAGCAUUGAAUGUUUAUGACUAUUUGAAUAGUUGUGACAAGGGUACAGUGAAGGAGGAAGUAACCAUUUUUGAAUACCCUUUUACAAUUUGCAAAGCACUUUUAAAGGUAAGAGUGAGUUCCUAGACCAUAUUAGGGUGAGAAUGGACAUUGUUGGCUGCCAUAUCAUUGGGCAGGGGCUUUGAGAUUUUUGUCUUCAGAAGGCAGAUUAGAUUUGGAGUAGAAGGAGAAAUGUAAAGACCUGGUAUCUGAGUGUGUUUGCAGAGGGGAAUUGUCGUUUGGAAGCACAAGAAAGGGAAUGGCCCGUUGGCACAUAUGGUACAUUGUGUUUUCAUAUAAUUAUACCUGAAUGAAAGCAAGAGGAAACGUGUAGGAAGCUGUUUACAUAGUCCUUUUAAUAAUGUUUACAUGAGUUAAUGAACAUGCAAACGUAUCUGAUGAAAACAUGUCAGUAGUGAAACAGCCUUGUGAAGAAUCAGAUCUUACCUCAGGCUGGAAAAAAGGACUGGUUUUCCAAGCUCACAAAUUGCAGCCAGUGUGAAUAGUAGCACAAAUGACUGAGCUUUAAGACAUCCAUCCAUCCAUCUAUCCAUCCCCUCAUCCAUCCAUCCCCUCAUCCAUCCACCCAUCCAUCCAUCCCUUCAUCCAUCACUCCAUCCAGCCAUCCGUCCCUUCAUCAAUCCAUCCAUCCCUUCAUCCAUCCAUCCAUCCUUCCUUCCAUUCAUCCCUUCAUCCAUCCGUCCAUCCAUCCAUCCAUCCACUCAUUCAUCCCUUCAUCCAUCCAUCCAUCCAUCCUUCCUUCCUUCCAUUCAUCCCUUCAUCCAUCCGUCCAUCCAUCCAUCCACCCAUUCAUCCAUCCAUUCCUUCAUCAACUCAUCCCUUCAUCCAUCGUCUACCAUUCAUUCACCCCUUCAUCCAUCCAUUCAUUUAUCCAUCCGUCCAUUUACUUCCAUCCAUCCCUUUAUCCAUCCAUUCACCCAUUCAUCCCUUUAUCCAUAUGUCCAUUCCUCCAUCCAUCCAUCCAUCCAUUUACUCUUCAUCCCUUCAUCCAUUUUUCCAUCCAUUCAUCCAUUCAUCUUUUCAUCCAUCCAUCCAUUGAUCUAUCCAUCCAUCCAUUGCUCCAUCCAACCAUCCAUCCAUCCCUUCGUCCCUUCAUCCAUCCAUCCAUUCAUCCCAUCAUCCAUUGAUCACUUCAUCCAUCCAUCCUUCCAUCCUUCCAUCCAUUCUUCCAUUCAUCCAUCCAUGUGUUCAGCAAGUAUUUACUGAAUGCCUAUUAUGUGCCAAGCACUCUCCUCAGAACUUAGGAAAUACCAGGAAACAAAAUCAACAACAAUCCCUCACCACCUGGAUAUUACAUUUUGGUGGGAAGAGACAAAGAAAUAAAAUUGGUGAGUGAAUCACAUAGGUUAUUAGAAGGUGAUAAAGGUGUAGGUGAUAAAGGAGAAGUGCCAGGAGCAAGGAUUGGGUACAGUUGUGAAUAAGGUGGCCCCAAUAGGUUGCACUGAGAAGGUGACAUUUGCACAGAGACUUGAAGAAAGGAAGGAGAGAACAUGACUGUACCUGGGUAACAGCAUUUGUGGAAGAGGGAACAGCCAGUGUAAAAGUUCCAAGGCAUGAGUGCCUGGUACAUACAUGGAACAUCGAGGCCAGGGUGGCAGAAACGCGGUGAGUCCAGGAAGGGAAUAGGAACUAAGUGUAGGAAGGUGUACAGUGGGGUGGUGUGGGGGUGGAAUUGUGGCAGCCAGAUGGUGUUGGCCUAAGGCCUCUUGGCCCUUGUUAGGACUUGGUUUACCAUGGCGCAACACAUCCAUGAGAUUGGCAAAAAUUAAAAAGUCUGACAACAGAAAAUCUGGUAAUCUGGUGAGGAUGUGGAGCAGUGGGAAUUCUCCAAUACUGCCAGGGAGCAUGGGCAUCAAUCCCACCACACUGGAAUGCAAAGGGGCAUUCUGAGUAGAACUGAAGAUGUGCCCAUCCUUGACCCCACAGUUCCAGCCAUGGGCAUGCGCAUGAAUGUGCACACGUGUUGACUGCGGCAUUUGUUUGUCAUUAUGAAAACAUCUAAGUUUCCAUCUAUGGGAGAGGGGAUAAUGUGGGAGUGCCCAACAGUGGAGUUCUAGAGAGCAGUAAAAAUAAAUGGACUAGAGCUGCACACGUCAAAAUGGAUGAAGAUAAAAGACAUAAGGAUGGAAGAAGACCACCUGGCCACAGAAGUAUAUGUCCAAUAUGAUGCUGGUGUAUCCAGAGUGUUCAAACAAACAACACAACACUACUCAUUGUUUCCAACGUGAGUAUGAAAGUAUGGAGCAGUGCGGAGGGCCAGGAGUGCUGAAUCCACAUGGUUACUUCUCCAGGCGGGGGCCGAGGACCAGGGCUGGAGGUUUACUCCAGGAGCUUCAGUGGUGCAUGCUGAAUGUGCUGUUUCUUGGGCUGGGGGACAGAGAUGUGCAUGCUGUUAUACACUCUAUAUUGAAAUGAUUGUAUAACAAUAUACUAAUUUAUCAUGUAAUAAAUUUGACCAGAAAGAAACAACUGUUCUGUGGCUGCUUCCAUGACUGGAUUUCACGUUGUAGGUUUCUAAGCAGAGAGUCCAAGGAAAACCAAAGGAGCGGCGGAAGGAUAAGCCUCCCGGGUGUUCUGGGAGUGUCCCUUUGCUUGGG